AUGACCUCGAGCUCCCUCCUGUUCCUCGCCCUCCUGGCCCUGCUGGCCCUGCCAGUGACCCUGCUGGAGUGCGGGGGUGACCUCAAGGCCCCCGGGGGGUCCCUGACUCUGCUCUGCCGUUGGAAUGGAUUCAGUUUCGAGAGUUUUGACAUGUACUGGGUCCGGCAAAGACCUGGGGAGGCGCUGGAAUUCGUCGCAUGGAUCAGCUACCGUGGUGGCUACACCAACUACGCGCCGUCGGUGCAGGGCCGGUUCACGAUCUCCAUGGACAACGGGCAGAGCUCGGUGACGCUGACCAUGAACAACCUCAAGGACGAGGAUUCCGGCGUUUAUUUCUGUGCCAAGAGACGAGGAUUCCAGCGCUGA